rnacentral:lncRNA from 1 species
UCCUUUGUUGCUUUGCAUAGCCCAUUCCUCCUCAUUCUUCAUUUCUCAGCUUAAAUGCCACUUCAUCAGAGACGCCUUUUUCAAAAACUUUACCUAAGUUUUUAUUUGUUUUUCUUUUUUCCUGAGCUGAUAGGAAGACAACUCUGUUAUCUUUAGGAUUUCAGAUGCUUUUAGAAUCAAACCUGGAAAGGAUACAAAAAGCAGAAGCAAAACCAACAUUUGGGAGAAGAACAGAUUAAGACAGUAGCUUAUAUUGAAACAUCACUUCUCAUUUGCUGUUUGGACAAUGGUGAUGGAACUGCUGCUUUAUUGCCCACGGAGAAGCGAAGUGAAGAGUCUAAAGUGGGUCUUGCAGUUACACUGGACAAAAGAAGUUUGAAACUGAGGCUUGGUCCUGAAGAAAACAUAGAGAAGCCUGACAGAUUAUAUAUAUUCACAGCUUUGACUUAAAGGUUGCUGGUUGACCAAUAAGUAAUACAAGAAGAAAUGGUCUUUUCUGGAAUUGUCCUUCUUUCCAGGUAUCAAUGGUGAGCAGAAGAGGAGCAGGGAAUGAUGAAAGACCACACAUUCUCCAAAAGUCACUAAGCACUGUCUGCAGAUGGAACAUUCAUAUUUUCACAUAGUAUAAGUCAUAUGAUCUUUGAUCCUCCAUGUAUUGCUAUCCAGCCAUUUACUUUAGAAUGUCAGCCUUUAUACUGAUAUCACACACAUGUUGUAAAAUGUAGUGAAGAUAAACGGGUGAAGUUAAACUUACAAUGCUUUUGCUGUUAUCCAUAAAAAUGCAAUAGGUAUUGCAUAGAAUUAGUUACAAGCACAAAACUGUGAUACCCUAUAUGCCCCUGUUACAAGAAAGUUGUCAUUUUACAUUAUGGGUAUUUAUUCGAUAUUUUCAUAGUUUAAUUACUAACAAAGCAUUAAUAAUGCCAGAUUGUGCUGACAAACAUUGCAGUCUCUGAAUAGGAGAAAGAAUAUAUUCUUUGCACCAUUAUACAAUGAUUUAGAACUUUAAUAGUGUGCUGGGGAAAAAACAUGUAUCUGUAACCUGAAAUAGUUGUUUUACCUCCCUGAGUACAAAAUAUGUCACACAUUCUCUCCUAAAUGUAUUCUCUAUUUUUACCAGUCAUUUUGUUGCUAAAAUGUAAGAUAUGGGGAUGGGAUGUGGGUGAUUGUCUCCGUCCUUUUGGGCUUCUAUAACUAAAAUACCUUAGACUGGGUAAUUUAUAAACAACAGGAAUUUAUUUCUCACAGUUCUGGGGGCUGGAAAGUCCAAGAUCAAGGCUGUGGUGGGGUUUGGCUGGCGAGGGCUCCAUCCUUCUUGCUAUAUCUUCACAUGGUGGAAGGAGCAAACAAACUCCCCCAGCCCUCUUUUACAAGGGCACUAAUAUUAUUUGUGAGGGCUCCACUCUCAUGACUUAAUCACCUCCCCAAAGACCCUACUUCUUAAUACUAACACAUUGGGGAUUAAUCUUCAACAUAUGAAUUUUGGAGGAACACAAACAUUCAGACCAUAGCAAUGUUUAUUGGGGUGAAUGCUCAUUUAACUUUUCCCAGAACAAUCCCUGUUAAGUCUGCUAACCUCCUGUAGUUAAUGAUAAAAUUUCCUUCAUUUUCCGAAGUGUUCUUGUUUGGAUUAUAAAUUAUGUAAUUACCCUAAUGACAAUUAACUAGACAUUUUUUUUCUUACUGUAUAGCACCAGUAUGGGCAAUUGCAGUGGCUUUCAAACUUGACUACAACUCAGGGAGAAAUACAUUUUUCAUCAUAACGUAGUACACACACACACACACACACACACACACACACACGCACACACACACACACAUACACUAGAUAAAGCAAAAGCUUUAGGAAAUGGUACUUGGAUAUUUUCAAAUAUAUUUUAGUCUGUUUUUUAAUUAAAAAUCUCUAGUCAUGAUACAUUAAAUUGACUUAUUGACCCACAGCUUGAAAAAACACCAAUAUUUUGGAUGUGUUUUAAGGUCAUAGAACACGCCUUCUGAUUUUUUUCCUUCCCUAGGUAAUCCUAUGCAAGUUGCCAAUCUUCUCUAAACAACACUCUUCUUCAUCUAUAAAGUAAAUAUUAAUACCUACCUGAAGGUGGCAGAGAGAGUUAACUGAGAUAAUUUGGUUAAUGAGCCUGAAAUCUAGUCAACACUUACUAAAGGUAAUUUCUUCUCCUCUCUUCCGCUUCUAAACCAACAGGACACAGCUGAAGUUCACAGGUUUGUAAAAGUGAAAAAAUAUUUUUCUUAACCCCCUGACCUCUAAAGUUUGGUCAGAGUGUUUAGCCACUGAUAAAACAUCUUUAAGCACUGUUACUUCUAUGUUCAACUAAAAGAGUCACUUUUCAGUAAUUUCCGGUCAAGCCCAUCACAAUAGCACUUGCAGCUUCUCAAAAGAAAAGAAAGAAAGAGAGAGAAAGAAAGGAAGAAAGAGAAUUGAAGGAGGAAAGAAGGAAAAAAAUCAUGAUGAAGAUUUUAAAACAUGUCUUAUUGAGGGAUGGGAUGGUGAGGAAGUUGAUUAUAGUGAUGGAUGUGACAGACAGGGCCCGUACUUCUGUUUCUGUUCUCAAACUAACAGUUUUCACACAUAACCGUUUUCACACAUAACACAUUAGUAGAAUUUCUUUUGA